rnacentral:rRNA from 1 species
AAUUGCCCUACCGCCUUGAGAGUGACAGAUCUCAAAAGCCAAGCAGGAUUGGCCUGGUUAUUACUUGGAUGGGAGACUGUUGGGAAUACAAGGUGCCACAGUGC